CCUACGGGUGGCAGCAGUGAGGAAUAUUGGUCAAUGGGCGAGAGCCUGAACCAGCCAAGUCGCGUGAGGGAGUACUGCCCUAUGGGUUGUAAACCUCUUUUGUCGGGGAGCAAAAGCCGGACGUGUCCGGCUGUGAGAGUACCCGAAGAAAAAGCAUCGGCUAACUCCGUGCCAGCAGCCGCGGUAAUACGGAGGAUGCGAGCGUUAUCCGGAUUUAUUGGGUUUAAAGGGAGCGUAGAUGGGUUGUUAAGUCAGUUGUGAAAGUUUGCGGCUCAACCGUAAAAUUGCAAUUGAUACUGGCAGCCUUGAGUACAGUUGAGGUAGGCGGAAUUCGUGGUGUAGCGGUGAAAUGCUUAGAUAUCACGAAGAACUCCGAUUGCGAAGGCAGCCUACUAAACUGCCACUGACAUUGAUGCUCGAAAGUGUGGGUAUCAAACAGGAUUAGAUACCCGUGUAGUC
rnacentral:rRNA from 1 species